rnacentral:rRNA from 1 species
GACGAACGCUGGCGGCGCGCUUAACACAUGCAAGUCGAACGGAAAGGCCUGCUUUCCCUUGUGGAUUGCGGGUACUCGAGUGGCGAACGGGUGAGUAACACGUGAGUGAUCUGCCCCCAACUUGGGUAUAAGCCUGGAAAACUGGGUCUAAUUCCCGAUAGGACUGCAGGGUGGUGCCUGUGGUGGAAAACGAUUUUCUAGUGGUUGGGGAUGAGCUCGCGGCCUAUCAGCUUGUUGGUGGGGUAAUGGCCUACCAAGGCGGCGACGGGUAGCCGGCCUGAGAGGGUGGACGGCCACAUUGGGACUGAGAUACGGCCCAGACUCCUACGGGAGGCAGCAGUGGGGAAUAUUGCACAAUGGGCGGAAGCCUGAUGCAGCGACGCCGCGUGGGGGAUGACGGCCCUCGGGUUGUAAACUCCUUUCGACCGCGAGGAAGCCACCUGGUUGGAAGGGUGGUGACGGUAGUGGUAGAAGAAGCACCGGCUAACUACGUG